UACGUAGGGGGCAAGCGUUGUCCGGAUUUAUUGGGCGUAAAGAGCGUGUAGGCGGCUUUACAGGUCCGCUGUGAAAACUCGAGGCUCAACCUCGAGAUGUCGGUGGAAACCGUGUGGCUAGAGUCCGGAAGAGGAGAGUGGAAUUCCCGGGUGUAGCGGUGAAAUGCGCAGAUAUCGGGAAGAACACCCGUGGCGAAGGCGGCUCUCUGGGACGGUACUGACGCUGAGACGCGAAAGCGUGGGGAGCGAACGAGG
rnacentral:rRNA from 1 species